CUUCCUGACCUGCCCUCUCAACGGGGUUCCAUUCAUAACUGUUGUCAGACCCAUCUGACAAUUCCGGUCAUAGACCUGCAGGAAGCCACAACUGGUCGAAGGAAGGAAGUAGUAGACAAAAUCAAGCAAGCAUCAGAGACAUGUUGUUUCUUUCAGGUGGUGAAUCAUGGGAUCCCUCAGAUAUAUGUGUUAGAGGAGACACUGGAAGGGGUUCGAAGGUUCUACGAGCAAGACACGGAGAUCAAGAAACAAGGGUACACUCAUGAUCUCUUGGGCAAGAAGGUCGUCUACGACAGCAAUUUUGAUCUCUAUACCUCUGCCGCUGCCAAUUGGAGAGAUUCCAUGUAUUGC